AUUUAAUUAGUUUAAAAAAAAUUUUGGAUUGUGGAUUCAGGGAUAUUCGUUGAAUAUUAAAUA
rnacentral:tRNA from 1 species